AUGUCCUACAUAAUGAGUGUUUUAAUGAGUGCCCAGACUCUUUUUAUCCAUGUUUGUUAAUUAAUCAGUAUACAUGCCAUGCCAACAGAUGGCAGUAAGGAUAAGGUGCCUCUGGGGAAGUGACUAAUAGGGUAAUAGGAAGGGAAGGAGAAAGAAUGACAGAACAGUCCCCAGAGUGCCGACAGGUGACCUCUGUCGUAUUAUUGCAGGCAGGUCUCUGUUGUACAUGCUGCUGAACUCACUGGUCAUAAAAGGGCAGGAUUUGCAUGCGUGUGUUUGUGUAUUCCAGACAAGUACACAAACGCAGGUCAGGGACAUACACGUGCAUGUGAGACGCACCAGCACCACACAUGUUGAAAGCACCGCACGGCGACGGAACAUAUUUCUUUUUUUCGGGUCUCCCCCAGCGGGGCCCUUCACUGUACUGGUUUCCACGGCAAUGCAAGGGGAGAGGAAUAAUGGUCCUGCUGUGGGGCCCCAUCACGCAGAUGGACUGGGCCCAGCACAUAUGCUGACAGAACAUUUUACAUCUCCCUCCACUUCUGCGCGCGGGGCCCCGCCCGAGCGCACGGGGGCCCGGACGGAAUAUUAAUGAUCCCAAUUCAAUUUGCAGGAGCCAGAGCAACUUCCUGGAUGAGCAGUGUCGACACUUCUGUGUAAUGGAUGACGAGCGUGCGGGGACUGCGCGUUGUUGACCUAAUAAUGAGAUGGAGGCCGCUCUUCUCAGAACAGAAGCGCUGCCACCUCUGAACUCGAAGUUUUAUUCCAGCUCGCGUUUCGCCCUGGCGGACGCGGCAAAGCCUUCCGCACAAAAGCUCUCAGCUUCUCCACGCGUCUUGGCUUUUGUGCAGGUUAUUACCAAGAGUCUAUCUCCUAUGAUUUGCAUUUCGGAUGGAGUCUGGUUCUGAGGAUGUGUUUGGAUCAGGGCUCCCUCCGACCAACGAGGUGCUGUGGCCUAGUUCAACAAGCUUCAGUUAUUCCCCUCCUGCAAGAAGCAGACAGAAGGCCGCGGAGCUUCGCUUCUGUGAUGUCCAAUAUUUGCUCUACUUUCAGUUUUGGUCCUAAGAGGAAUGUUUCCCUCUAUCUGUUUAGUGCUCUGCUGGUUUUAACAGGCAGUUUUGAACUUUGCCUGCUUGGACGGAUGCAGGAUUUUUUUCAUAGAAAAGCCACAUUCUGCUGGAAAAUGAGCUGACCACAAUCGCAAAGCGGUUGGAAGUACAAUCAAAACCAUGAGCUGCAGCCAGAGCCGAGGGGCGUUCAACGCAUUUUGUGUCAUUUGUUGAUCUAAAAAUGUUGAAUAGAGCAGCUUUAGGCAGCUCUUGGCCAUAUCAGGCAAUACCUCAUUAAAUACUGUACUUGGCUGCUUGUGUAGCUUUGUGCCUCUGCCUGUAGGGGUACAGUACAGUAUACUGUAACUAAUUUGAAAGUAUAUUUCUUCUGGUAGCUUCUAAUAAAUACUUUGUAUUUAACCUAUAACAGGAUGAAACUGCUUUCAAUACCAUGACAACAUUAGAGAUGAAUAUAAUCUAAAAGGAAAUUAGUAAUUUACAUUUCUUGGCACUAGUCAAUGGCACAUUUCCAGAUUCCGUUUCUUUCUAGUGAAGUUGGAGGCUGAUUUAGAUCGUAACCUUGUAGAUGAUUAUUCCUUUUCACAAUUACUUUGCUUCUUUCACACAGUAGUCAAAGGCUUCCACUCAGAGUCUAUCCAGGAGCAGGAAGGACACACCACAGGAGGCUUAUCUGUCCAUCACAUCUAGCUUUUGUUGCGAUACCUUCAUCAGGUCAUAUUAAUUAAUUUAACAAUGUUUUUCCUGUUCUUUACUUCAAAGCCAUUGUUUAAUUAUAUCACUGUUCCACAAAUGUGAUACACAUUUAAUACACACGUUAUGAGUUAACACACAUGACAAAAACAUGCCUUCUCGCUGUGUAUAGUAUGAUGUAGCAUCCAGCUGCAGCAUCAUUGUUCAUGCCGUUUGAUGUGCUGUAUAAUGUGCUGUGUAAUAUGUGCAAGAGUGCAUAGCCUAAAAUAGCAUUUCUGAAAUUAUAAAAUGACACACAAUGGU